rnacentral:lncRNA from 1 species
GAUAUUCGUCUUAGUAGAGUGGUAACCAUGUAUAAUUGAGCCUUGACCCCCUGGUGUAGGGAAAUGAAGCAGGUGAUUUUCUGCAUAGAACUUGUGGCUUCCUUUUCUCUCCUAGUUAAUAUCCCUAGAGAUUGGUCUUCAUAACCUGCACCAACAGACGGAUGCUGAAGAUAACCCAAAACAUUGAAUACUCCAGAAUACAUUUUGCAUUUUCUUUGUAUGUCAUUGAGGAUGGACAUGACCUGGGAAUUUAAUUGAAAACAAGCAAUAAUCACAUCAUAAAGACUAAUUCAAGAGCUCAGAAAUUGUCCCUGGCUCCUUAUUCUGCCUCUGCCUGAGGGCGCUCAGUGGCUUGCACCCUUCUCUGUGGACAGAUGGCCUGGUCUCAGACUGAGGAAAGCACUCAUAGGGCAAGAUUUCUCCCAUAGCGAUUGUUAAGGACAAGAUAGACACCACAAAAGGUUUUUCUGAAAACUGUGUUGCAGAGAAGAUAAUGGGUGUGUUUAGAACAUAAAUAAAGAAAAUAAGCAGCAGUUUUGAGAAAUGACAGUAAACUUGAAAUAAUUUAUCAAAAUAAAAAUGUGAGUAAUCUAGAUAACUGUGAUUCAGGGGAAAAUAUAUAAAUCUAGGGAUAUUAAUUUGUGUACUUUUCAUUUUUCCAUGUACUAUAUGUUUUUAACAGGAUUUAAGAUACAUUUUUCAAUAAAGUGCAAAGAAUGUGAAUAAAUGAUAAUGAAUUAAAAGCAGUUUAGUACAUAUGCCAUUAACCAGAUUGGCCUGACUUUUGGAAUUUAAAACUAACUCUUCUUUUCUUUUUAGGUUGCCUCUUGGUGCUGCCUUGGCCGUAUUUGGCACCCAGAAUGCUUCAUUCUAUGACGGUCUAUUAAUAAGGUUGCCUUGCUAGAGUUUGGAGCAGGGCCUCAGAUUGGCCAAAAUGGGAAGGAUUGGAUUCCACUCUCUUCCACGAAGAGUCAAUGGGACUGGCUAAGAUCAAAGUCUGAGGCUUUUUCCAUAUGUAAUCAGUCCCUUUUUGCUUUCUUUUACGACCACAUGAAACUUGAGAAGCCACCUAAAGCUAUAUCAUUUAGUGGAGUUGGGCAGUUCCCAAGUGUCCAACAAG